UACGUAGGGUGCGAGCGUUAAUCGGAAUUACUGGGCGUAAAGCGUGCGCAGGCGGUUCGUUGUGUCGGUGGUGAAAUCCCCGGGCUUAACCUGGGAAUGGCCAUGGAAACUGGCGAACUGGAGUGUGGCAGAGGGGGGUGGAAUUCCGCGUGUAGCAGUGAAAUGCGUAGAGAUGCGGAGGAACACCGAUGGCGAAGGCAGCCCCCUGGGCUAGCACUGACGCUCAGGCACGAAAGCCUGGGGAGCGAACGGG
rnacentral:rRNA from 1 species